GAUGAACGCUGGCGGCGUGCCUAAUACAUGCAAGUCGAGCGAACGGACGAGAAGCUUGCUUUUCUGAUGUUAGCGGCGGACGGGUGAGUAACACGUGGAUAACCUACCUAUAAGACUGGGAUAACUUCGGGAAACCGGAGCUAAUACCGGAUAAUAUUUUGAACCGCAUGGUUCAAAAGUGAAAGACGGUCUUGCUGUCACUUAUAGAUGGAUCCGCGCUGCAUUAGCUAGUUGGUAAGGUAACGGCUUACCAAGGCAACGAUGCAUAGCCGACCUGAGAGGGUGAUCGGCCACACUGGAACUGAGACACGGUCCAGACUCCUACGGGAGGCAGCAGUAGGGAAUCUUCCGCAAUGGGCGAAAGCCUGACGGAGCAACGCCGCGUGAGUGAUGAAGGUCUUCGGAUCGUAAAACUCUGUUAUUAGGGAAGAACAUAUGUGUAAGUCACUGUGCACAUCUUGCCGGUACCUAAUCAGAAAGCCACGGCUAACUACGUG
rnacentral:rRNA from 1 species